AGAGUUUGAUCAUGGCUCAGAACGAACGCUGGCGGCGUGCCUAACACAUGCAAGUCGUGCGAGAAAGUUCCUUCGGGAAUGAGUAAGGCGGCGCACGGGUGAGUAACACGUAGGUAAUCUCCCCUCGAGCCCGGAAUAACCUACCGAAAGGUGGGCUAAUACCGGAUAUGACCACGGAAGUUUCGGCUUCUGCGGUGAAAGAUGGCCUCUAUUUAUAAGCUAUCACUCAAGGAUGAGCCUGCGUACCAUUAGCUAGUUGGUGGGGUAAUGGCCCACCAAGGCUAUGAUGGUUAGCUGGUCUGAGAGGAUGGCCAGCCACACUGGGACUGAAACACGGCCCAGACUCCUACGGGAGGCAGCAGUGGGGGAUAUUGCGCAACGGGCGGAAGCCUGACGCAGCGACGCCGCGUGGGUGAUGAAGGCCUUCGGGUCGUAAAGCCCUGUCGAGGGGAAAGAAUCGAUCACGACCUAAUACGUCGUGAUCCUGACGGUACCCCUAAAGGAAGCACCGGCUAACUCCGUGCCAGCAGCCGCGGUAAUACGGAGGGUGCGAGCGUUGUUCGGAAUCACUGGGCGUAAAGCGCGUGUAGGCGGCCCACUAAGUCUGAUGUGAAAGCCCGGGGCUCACCCCCGGAAGUGCAUUGGAAACUGGUGGACUCGAGUCCCGGAGGGGAGAGUGGAAUUCCUGGUGUAGCGGUGAAAUGCGUAGAUAUCAGGAGGAACACCGGUGGCGAAGGCGGCUCUCUGGACGGUGACUGACGCUGAGACGCGAAAGCGUGGGGAGCAAACAGGAUUAGAUACCCUGGUAGUCCACGCCGUAAACGAUGAGCACUAGGUGUCGCGGGUAUUGACCCCUGCGGUGCCGACGCUAACGCAUUAAGUGCUCCGCCUGGGGAAUACGGCCGCAAGGUUAAAACUCAAAGGAAUUGACGAGGGCCCGCACAGCGGUGGAGCAUGUGGUUCAUUCGACGCA
rnacentral:rRNA from 1 species